rnacentral:rRNA from 1 species
CCUACGGGAGGCAGCAGUGAGGAAUAUUGGUCAAUGGACGAGAGUCUGAACCAGCCAAGUAGCGUGAAGGAUGACUGCCCUAUGGGUUGUAAACUUCGUUUAUAAAGGAAUAAAAUGAGGCACGUGUGCCUUUUUGCAUGUACUUUAUGAAUAAGGAUCGUCUAACUCCGUGCCAGCAGCCGCGGUAAUACGGAGGAUCCGAGCGUUAUCCGGAUUUAUUGGGUUUAAAGGGAGCGUAGUUGGGUUGUUAAGUCAGUUGUGAAAGUUUGCGGCUCAACCGUAAAAUUGCAAUUGAUACUGGCAGUCUUGAGUACAGUUGAGGUAGGCGGAAUUCGAGGUGUAGCGGUGAAAUGCUUAGAUAUCACGAAGAACCCCGAUUGCGAAGGCAGCUUACUAGACUGUGACUGACAUUGAUGCUCGAAAGUGUGGGUAUCGAACAGGAUUAGAUACCCUAGUAGUC